CCUUGUCUAGUUCUUAUCCAAACCAGCAGUAAAACGAAGACUUGUAUAUAUCAUGCCGCUGUUGAAGCAGUGCUUCAUUCUCGGCAAAUUAAGGGACUGGUGCGGCCAGUUCUCGGCCAUAUUGAAGAACCGAUCGUGGUGGUCCGAAUUAGGGGAUUGUGUGUCGUUUUGUAGUCGAAGGUAACACAACUAAUGUAAAGGAUAAAUCAAACAGAGUUAUGAUUAAUGUAGGACUGUGAGUUGUUAAAUGCUAUUGUAAGAAAUUGCGUUUCCUUACAG
rnacentral:lncRNA from 1 species